rnacentral:rRNA from 1 species
CAAUAGCGUAUAUUAAAGUUGUUGCAGUUAAAAAGCUCGUAGUUGGAUUUCUGGUGGGAGCGAUCGGUCUGGCGCUUAGCGCGAGUACUUGCAUCGUCUCCGGCCAUCCUUGGGGAGAGUCUGUCUGGCAUUAGGUUGUCGGGCAGAGGAUCCUCAUCGUUUACUGUGAAAAAAUUAGAGUGUUCAAAGCAGGCUUAUGCCGUUGAAUAUAUUAGCAUGGAAUAAUAAGAUAGGACUUUGGUACUAUUUUGUUGGUUUGCGCACCAAAGUAAUGAUUAAUAGGGACAGUUGGGGGUAUUCGUAUUCCGUUGUCAGAGGUGAAAUUCUUGGAUUUACGCAAGACAAACAGCUGCGAAAGCGUCUGCCAAGGAUGUUUUCAUUAA